rnacentral:rRNA from 1 species
UACGUAGGGUGCGAGCGUUGUCCGGAAUUACUGGGCGUAAAGAGCUCGUAGGUGGUUUGUCGCGUUGUCCGUGAAAACUCACAACUCAAUUGUGGGCGUGCGGGCGAUACGGGCAGACUGGAAUACUGCAGGGGAGACUGGAAUUCCUGGUGUAGCGGUGGAAUGCGCAGAUAUCAGGAGGAACACCGGUGGCGAAGGCGGGUCUCUGGGCAGUAACUGACGCUGAGGAGCGAAAGCGUGGGGAGCGAACAGG